rnacentral:rRNA from 1 species
GCGUUAUCCGGAUUCACUGGGUUUAAAGGGUGUGUAGGCGGGCAGUUAAGUCAGUGGUGAAAUCUCCAGGCUCAACCUGGAAACUGCCAUUGAUACUAUCUGUCUUGAAUUCUGUUGAGGUGGGCGGAAUACAUCAUGUAGCGGUGAAAUGCUUAGAUAUGAUGUAGAACACCGAUUGCGAAGGCAGCUCACUAAACAGAUAUUGACGCUGAGGCACGAAAGCGUGGGGAGCAAACAGG